AAUGAAAUAACUGGAUCAAGUGGUGAUUCCAUUCCCAGUAUUCUAAGGAAUUUCCAUACUUCUUUCCAUAGUGGUUACACCAAUUUGUAGUUCCCCCAGCAAU
rnacentral:pre_miRNA from 1 species